ensembl:ncRNA T22B7.13 ncRNA
GAAAUCUUGAGAGAACAAUUCUCUAUUAUGGAUAAGUGGUGGGUUGAGGUGUCAUCACAAGUUAUCGCCAAAUGCGGGCAAUGUUCGUGUGCGCAUCCGAGAGCAGCUUCUUUAAUACAGAUGCUCCAACAUCUCAUUCCCACUCAAUUACAAUGGGUAAUUGUGCACUCGAAGCUGAAGACAACAAAACAAAGCCACUUUGAAUCUCCCGCCCGUCCAUGUAAGCGAAUCCAACGGCCCACAAUUUUUCCCGUCUGUUAUUCAUUUCGGUUUAUAUUCUU